CAGGCCCUACGGGGCGCAGCAGUCGCGAAAACUCCGCAAUGCGCGAAAGCGUGACGGGGCUACCCCGAGUGCCGUCCGCUGAGGAUGGCUUUUCCCCGGUGUAAUGAGUCGGGGGAAUAAGGAGAGGGCAAGCCUGGUGUCAGCCGCCGCGGUAAUACCAGCUCUCCGAGUGGUAGGGAUGAUUAUUGGGCUUAAAGCGUCCGUAGCCGGUCCGGCAAGUCUCCCGUUAAAUCCAGCGACCUAAUCGUUGGGUUGCAGGAGAUACUGUUGGGCUAGGAGGCGGGAGAGGCCGACGGUAUUCCCGGGGUAGGAGUGAAAUCCUAUAAUCCCGGGAGGACCACCAGUGGCGAAGGCUGUCGGAUAGAACGCGCUCGACGGUGAGGGACGAAAGCUGGGGGAGCGAACCGGAUUAGAUACCCGGGUAGUCCCAGCUGUAAACGAUGCGGGCUAGGUGUUGGGGUGGCUACGAGCCACCUCAGUGCCGCAGGGAAGCCAUUAAGCCCGCCGCCUGGGGAGUACGGCCGCAAGGCUGAAACUUAAAGGAAUUGGCGGGGGAGCACCACAAGGCGUGAAGCUUGCGGUUUAAUUGGAGUCAACGCCGGGAACCUUACCGGGGGUGACAGCAGGAUGAAAGCCAGAU
rnacentral:rRNA from 1 species